rnacentral:tRNA from 1 species
UGUCUUUAUAGUUUAAUUUUAAAAUAUUACACUGAAAAUGUAAAGAAAAAUUUUUAAAGACAA